UCUGUGAGAGAAGGAGAAAAAAGAGAAGUGCUAAGGUUUUCACUUUUCUUACGGAGGCAGCCAGUCCAGUCCAUGCUGAAGCGAACACCUGUGGGUCCGCGUGUGGGCGUUGAGCUACCAGGAAAGGCUGGCACACCCAGAAGUGCCUUUCCCUUCCUGACGAGGCUGCUGCUGCUGCUGCUUGGACCUGCUUAU